rnacentral:lncRNA from 1 species
GUUUUUGUCCAAAAUGAAAGUGGCCGCAUCCGUGUUCAUCCUCAACCUUUAUAUAUGUUAUGUAUUAUCAUCAAAUACAACUUACAUUUUAAUAUUAUGGAUGAACACGAAUGCGGCCACUAUCAUUUUUGACGGAAACCGUCUAAAAUUUAACUAAAAUCAUGAAAUUGUGAAGAUUUCAGUAAUUUAGCAUGACUUAAUGAUGCUAGUACCCGA